rnacentral:tRNA from 1 species
UCUGUAGCGCAAUGGAUAACACGUUGGACUUCUACACCAAAGGUCGUGGGUUCGAAUCCCACCUGAAAAG